AGUUUGAUCCUGGCUCAGAACGAACGCUGGCGGCAUGCCUAACACAUGCAAGUCGAACGAUGCUUUCGGGCAUAGUGGCGCACGGGUGCGUAACGCGUGGGAAUCUGCCCUUGGGUCUGGGAUAACAGUUGGAAACGACUGCUAAUACCGGAUGAUAUCGCGAGAUCAAAGAUUUAUCGCCCGAGGAUGAGCCCGCGUCAGAUUAGCUAGUUGGUGGGGUAAAGGCCUACCAAGGCGACGAUCUGUAGCUGGUCUGAGAGGAUGAUCAGCCACACUGGGACUGAGACACGGCCCAGACUCCUACGGGAGGCAGCAGUGGGGAAUAUUGGACAAUGGGCGAAAGCCUGAUCCAGCAAUGCCGCGUGAGUGAUGAAGGCCUUAGGGUUGUAAAGCUCUUUUACCCGUGAUGAUAAUGACAGUAGCGGGAGAAUAAGCCCCGGCUAACUCCGUGCCAGCAGCCGCGGUAA
rnacentral:rRNA from 1 species